CUGCUAUCAUUUCUAAGUAAUUUAGAAACUGGUUUGUUACCGCACGGACAACUCGACCCACCGUUAUGGUCUCAAAGAGGGACUGGAAAGGUCUUCGGACGAGGCAAAAUCCGUAGACGUCCUCUGCCUAGCCUCUGUGAGAGCGGAGAGACAGAAGAGGCUGAGUGGGAAGAAGCCGCUGGCGACUAUGUAUUUCGAAUCGUCAACAAUGCCAUUACAGAUAGAGAAGCAAUGCGACAUUCCCUCCUCGAGCGAGCAGUGUCGUCACCCCCGCGGACUCCUCGUCGACCACUUGCUUCAACCUCCACAACAUCAUCAGAUUCAUCUACAAUGUCAGUGGACUGUCCUCCUCCAAUCGGUCACAAUGGAGUACCACCACAGGUUGUGCCACCACCACAGCCAAUG